rnacentral:rRNA from 1 species
UAAAAGCGUACAAGGUUUCCGUAGGUGAACCUGC